AUUGAACGCUGGCGGCAGGCUUAACACAUGCAAGUCGAACGAGUGGCGGAAGGGUGAGUAAUGCUUGGGAAUCUGGCUCAUGGAGGGGGAUAACGACGGGAAACUGUCGCUAAUACCGCGUACAAUAGGAUGAGCCCACGUGGCAUUUGUUCGUUGGUGGGGUAAAGGCUUACAAAGCUGACGAUCUCUAGCUGGUCGGAGCGGAUGACCAGCCACGCCGGGGCGGAUAGGCGGCCCGGACUCCUACGGGAGGAAUCAGUGGGUAGUAGUGCGCAAUGGGGGCAACCCUUACAAAGCCAUGCCUCGUGAAUGAAGAAGGCCUUCGGUUUGUAAAGUACUUUCGGUAUUGAGGCGUUAAAUACAGAAGAAGCACCGGCUAACUCCGUGCCAGCAGCCGCGGUAAUAC
rnacentral:rRNA from 1 species